rnacentral:rRNA from 1 species
UGGGGAAUCUUGGACAAUGGGGGCAACCCUGAUCCAGCCAUGCCGCGUGAGUGAUGAAGGCCUUAGGGUCGUAAAGCUCUUUCGCCUGUGAAGAUAAUGACGGUAGCAGGUAAAGAAACCCCGGCUAACUCCGUGCCAGCAGCCGCGGUAAUACGGAGGGGGUUAGCGUUGUUCGGAAUUACUGGGCGUAAAGCGCACGUAGGCGGACCAGAAAGUUGGGGGUGAAAUCCCGGGGGCUCAACCCCGGAACUGCCUCCAAAACUAUUGGUCUAGAGUUCGAGAGAGGUGAGUGGAAUUCCAAGUGUAGAGGUGAAAUUCGUAGAUAUUUGGAGGAACACCAGUGGCGAAGGCGGCUCACUGGCUCGAUACUGACGCUGAGGUGCGAAAGCGUGGGGAGCAAAGCAGGA